GCUGGGGAGCAUCCCUCUCUCGCGCUGCUGUGUAGAGGGAGGAAGACGCAGGGCAGACCGCAGCUGGCAGUCUGGGAGCGGGGUGGGGGGGGGGGGGAAUCGAAGACGCCGCGGCACCAUGUGGGUUGUCCGCGACCUCGCUGAGCUGCCCCAUCCCCCUGGCCGGAAGCCGCCGCCUCUGGGCUUCUUAUCGUUGGAGCCUGGGCAACUUUGCAUUGUUUAAGCCAAAGUCAUCCUUAACCAGUCACGAUCCCCGGAGGACCUGGGAAUUGGGUUCCCAGGGAAGAGUCCCCCCCGAGAUGGGGUUGCAGGUUAGACAGUCACGUCUGCCAGCUGAUCCUGAAGUUUUUUUUUUUUUUUUUUUUUUACCUGGUGGGUCCCCAAGCCAGCAGCUCACCCCACCCCACAUGUCACUGACGUGCACUCUCUACACCUGUCCCACUGGCCCAUUACUUGCUGUGUUCCAGACCACCCUCAAACCUAGAGGCUUAAAACGACAAGGCUCAUCUGUUUGCUUGGGAUUGUGCAGUUUGGCUCAUUUCUGCUCCGCGUGGCACCUGCUGCAAGAUGGCGGUUUCUCUCACGAGCCUGGGGCCUCAGCAGGGAUGGGCGCCGUCGCUGGAGGCCACCCUCCUUGUGGCCAGCUUCGGCUUCCUCUUGACAUGGUGACUGCGUUCCAAGCAGCAGCCUUCCAAGAAGACAAGACCCUGAUGUGUAAGAGCUUAUCGCGUCUUGCACAGGCUUGUUAAGGUCCCUGUGGUCAAAAGGACAUAUGGUCCAGCCCAGACUCGUAGUAGGAGACUGUGCAGGAGUAUUGGUAUAGAUAGGAGAGGUUCAGGGGGAUUCACCACGAUACCAGACUGCCUCAGUGAUCGUCAUGCUUUGGACGAAUGCAAAGCAGAUCCCUGCCAGGAGGAGCGGGGCCGCAAAAGGGAGAGACUUCUUCAAGAUCAGAUUGGACCAAGGUGUUGUACCGGAAGUGAGCUUGACUUGAUUUAAUAUCGACUGGGUACCUAAUGAUGUGCGCGGUGCUGGGUUCGGCUCAACCUCUUUGCCGGGUACCGAAUUUCUACAAGGCACUGCUCUCGUGCUGGAAAACCAGACUUCGUUUUUACUGAGUUGCGACUAUCUGCCCACCACAUGUGGCAGGUGAAAAAAACCAUCCAUCCCAAGUGUUGCGACGAUAGCGGACCCCAUACGAUUUUGACAGAGAAAUUAUAACGUGCCAGGUGCCUAUGAUUAUAUGUCAAGUGUUUUACACACAUGAUCUUUUUCAUCCCGACACCAGUCCUCAGAGCGAUCAUCUUUAUGAAAAAAUGAGGCUUGGAGAGGCCAACUCCAUUCGCAGAUGAGGAAACUGAGGCCCCGUUGAGUGGAUAUACGUCCAAUCUGAAAGCGAACCGUCCAUGUGGCCAGCUUUGCAAAUCCAAACCGUCAGAGGCGGCGCGGGGUGGCAGACAGAACCUUUCCCUUUCUCCCUCCGGGAUUCACGGCCUCUGCGGUAAAGGAGGAGCCAGCAGGGACUGCGGCAAAUGCAGAGGAAAAUCCAAAUGUGGGUUUGUGGUCCAGAGGCGACAAGAGACUUUGCAGCCGAGGUCUGUGUAAGGAUCACCCGAGAAAAUGCACGCCCAGGACGUGGCGUGUUGAUUACAUGCUCGUUCCUUUCUUUCCAUCAGGUUCAGGUUUCCGGGAACACAGCACCAUGCUGAUAGGUGUUCUGUAAAAAGUGUCCCCUUGUCACAUGAGUUUGGGUUAUGCUGGUUUAAAAAAACGCUAAACAGGUUUCUUUUGUGCAAGACUUCUUAGAACCUGGAAUGUGCUAGAAUUCAUUGCGUCGCUCCAAAUUACUGCAGGCGGGGUUCACUGUUCCCCCUGGUGCCCGGCACAGAAGGAGCAAGCCACCGACACCUGUGACGAUAAUAAUGAUUUUAUUAAAACUGAAGGUUCAGAAACCCGGGAAGUCAGCCCGGAAAGAGUAACCCUGUUUUGGGGCGGUGGUGGCGAUAAAUGGACCGAUGUGUGAACCGAGACGCUCGUUGUCAAGGUUCCUGGAGAACUGUGGCCGCCGAAGGGCCUGGCCGCCCGUUCCAUCUGGCCAACCUUGCAGGCAUCCGACCUGUCAUCAGGUAAUCAGGGUGAGCCUGUCCUCGGGACAAGGGGGACGAGUUUUACGACCGGUGCUGCACAAGGCGGCUGAGUGAGGGCCGUCCCGGCCUUCUGCUCACUGCUCUGUAUUGCUGUCUUCCCUGGUUUACAAGCAAAAGGAUGGUCCACCGCAGGCAAUGGCCGGGAGGCAGGCCUGGGCCUCUCCUAUUCCCAAUCUCCUUCCAGUGGGCUGGUAUUUGCUGAACACCUACUAUGUGCCAGGUGUGUGGCACCAUGGGAGAAACGGCUAUGAGUUGUCCUUCUGUGCAGAGGGCUCCCAGGCUGAGGUGUGAUAAUGGGGGGACACAGAUGAACCUAUCAGCAGGGAGGGAGAGGGUCAGGACAGGACGAGGGGAGAAGGCGCAGCACGGGCAGGCCCCCAGGAGCUGUGAUGUCCUGCUCCAGGCCGCAGGACACUUGGGUGAAUAUCGCUGGAGCCCUGGAGGAGGGGGUGAGGGUCCUGGUGGGGCAGAACAUUCCAGAUCUGAGGGAAGGGGAUUUGUGACUGCCGGCCUUGCGGAGGUCCGAAGUGAAGGGCUCCACUGCUGUGUAUUUGCCCCUGUUAAAAAGAAAACCCCAGGCCCAAAAUGGAGUCACUUACGCCAAGUCACCAAGGUGGGGGGGAAGGGGACGCUGCUGUUCCAGCCUCCCCCGGGGGCUCUUCUGGUCAGCACCAAUGAGGUCAUCAGUCAUAGGGCCUCUCCAUCCCCCGGAAGGAAGAUGUCAUCUGCGCACCUGCUCUGCUCCCUCAGGGAAGGUGACCUUGUCUGAACUUUUCUUUUUCUUUUGCUAAGUGCCCCCGCCCUGUUUCUGCCUAUAAAACCCUUCCGUUUUGUACAGCUCGCCAGAGCUCCCCUCCAUCCGGGAUGCCGGCUGAUCUAUGAAUAAAGCCAAUGAGAUCUUGAGAUUUACUCAGCU